CCCUUAGAUGUUCUGGGCCGCACGCGUGCUACACUGAGUGGAUCAGCGGGUCAGGUUACGCGAGAGCGUUUCCUAAUCUUCAAAUCCGCUCGUGAUGGGGAUUGACGGUUGCAAUUUUCCGUCAUGAACGAGGAAUACCUUGUAAGCGCGGGUCAUCAUCCCGCGCUGAAUACGUCCCUGCCCUUUGUACACGCCGCCCGUCGCUCCUACCGAUUGAGUGGUCCGGUGAGGCUUUGGGAUCUAAGCGAAAAGAGCGUUUCGCUCCUUUUGCUGGGAGAACUCAGUCGAACCUUAUCAUUUAGAGGAAGGAGAAGUCGUAACA
rnacentral:rRNA from 1 species